rnacentral:rRNA from 1 species
AGAGUUUGAUCAUGGCUCAGGAUGAACGCUGGCGGCGUGCCUAACACAUGCAAGUCGAACGAGAAGCUAACUUCUGAUUCCUUCGGGAUGAUGAGGUUAGCAGAAAGUGGCGAACGGGUGAGUAACGCGUGGGUAAUCUACCCUGUUAAGUGGGGGAUAACCCUCCGAAAGGAGGGCUAAUACCGCAUAAUAUCUUCUCCUCCCAAGAAGAGAAGAUUAAAGAUGGCCUCUAUACUAUGCUAUCGCUUCAGGAUGAGCCUGCGUCCUAUUAGUUAGUUGGUGGGGUAAUGGCCUACCAAGACCACAAUGGGUAGCCGGUCUGAGAGGAUGUACGGCCACACUGGGACUGAGAUACGGCCCAGACUCCUACGGGAGGCAGCAGUGGGGAAUAUUGCGCAAUGGGGGAAACCCUGACGCAGCGACGCCGCGUGGAUGAUGAAGGCCCUUGGGUUGUAAAAUCCUGUUCUGGGGGAAGAAAGCUUAAAGGUCCAAUAAACCCUUAAGCCUGACGGUACCCCAAGAGAAAGCUCCGGCUAAUUAUGUGCCAGCAGCCGCGGUAAUACAUAAGGAGCAAGCGUUAUCCGGAAUUAUUGGGCGUAAAGAGCUCGUAGGCGGUCUUAAAAGUCAGGUGUGAAAUUAUCAGGCUUAACCUGAUAAGGUCAUCUGAAACUUUAAGACUUGAGGUUAGAAGAGGAAAG